rnacentral:rRNA from 1 species
UGAGGAAUUUUGCGCAAUGGGGGGAACCCUGAACGCAGCAACGCCGCGUGAGUGAAGAAGGCCUUCGGGUCGUAAGCUCUGUCGAGUGGGAAGAACAUUUUCAUGGUGAACAUCCAUGGGGGAUUGACGGUACCAUCGAAGGAAGCACCGGCUCACUCCGUGA